UUGUGUACAGCAACAAUAAAGCCGUCACUUGGGCCAUCAGCCCAGGGGACCCUCCUGUUCCCAAACUUUCUCUUCUCUCUUUUUUUCUUUCUUGCAUUCCCCUACCCUCAGGACCCUGACCUCGGUGUUUGUUGCGCCGGUCGCGACACCUGGGAAUUUCUGAUUGCAUAAUGGGCUUUAUGCAAAAUUCCAGUUUUUGUCUCCUCAGCCCAGUGAUAUGCUAGCAAAGUUGAGGCUUUUGCUUUCUGCUUCAUCUCUAGUCCCUGAGAUGUAAGUGAGAAAUGCCUCCAAAGAAAGUUGGCAGUGAAUACAGGGGCCCAUCCUAACAAGUCUUCCAUAGGUCAGAUCUACGCCCCACAACGACUGGAGGUUUUAAUUGCUCUCUGAUAGAUUUGAAUGGUCUUCUUUUGUGUGACUGUAUUUUAUCCUGCUUUUAUAGUCUUUUGCUGGAGGAUCAGUCUGAAACAAGCCAUUCCAUCAAAGUUCUCAGUGAUUCUGAUGCCAUUAACCCAUUUUCAGACUUAUCUCUUACACUCCUAGGACCUCAGGGCUACAAAGUGAGGUCCUGCACCCGUGCUUUAAUAAAAUCACCUUUUUGCACCGAAGACGUCUCGAGAAUUCUUUCUUGGCCGUCAGCUCUGGACUCCCAUCACUCCAAAACUUCAUCUCCAGUAACUGCACAUAGGAAACGGUGAUUUUAAGACUCUCAGUUUCUGAACUCUACUUCCUCUCCUUCCGGCUCGCUUGUGUCACGCCUCUACUUUGACCUCAUUGAGAUGUCUAAAUCCCUGACCUUACCCUGUCUGCAUGUCCAUCUCAAACCUCUUGUGGUGAGUUCCCGCUUUAUCAAGUUUAUGUCUCAUGGUCAUGUCUCUCUCUCUGUACCAUUUUGCUGAUAAAAUCUCAACCCAGUGGAAUUCAACCCCAUGCUUCCCUAACCUUCCAGCUAAAGGUUGCUGGAGAAAAUCUCACAGUCACGGUGAUCCCUUUGAAUUUAAAAUUAUGAUCACAAGCCUCUUAUGAACACUCUGUUACCAGACAACUCUUUGUUUCUCUAAUAAGUUUGGUUUCUGUCUCCCGCUAUGGCUACCGCUCCAUUUCUUUGUUUCUCUUCAAAGCCGAAUGUUUGGAAUGAGUUAUAAAUACUCAUCUCUACCUCUUCAACCCAACCACUCAUUAAAAAAAAUUUUUUUUUUACAUUUAUUUAUUUUUUGAGAGUAUAGAGAGACAGAGCACAAGUUGGGGAGGGGCAAAGAGAAGAGACACAGACUCCGAAGCAGGCUCUAGGCUCUGAGCUGUCAGCACAGAGGGGCUCGAACUCACAAACCGUGAGAUCAUGACCUGAGCCGGUCGGACGCCUAACCGACUGAGCCACCCAGGCGCCCCUAACCACUCAUUUUUCAAUCCACUUGGAUCUGGCUGAUGGUGCUCUUAUUAAGUUCACCAAAGAACUCUGCUCCCAAAGCCAGUGGCUCGAUCUGUCUUCCUCAGCAAGCUCAGACAAAACCUUUCUCUCCUCCUUUUUCCUACCUCUGGUGUUCCUCCUUCUCAGUCUCCCUCACUAGUUUCUCUAUUUCUACAAAGCCUCUAAAUGUUGAAAAGCCCUUGAACUUGGUCCUGGGCCCCCUUCUAUAGCUGCACUCACUCCCGUGAGGACUGUAUCCAGCUCCAUGGCUGUAAAUGCCAACUCUAAGCUGAUGAUCCCCCAAAUCCUAUCUGCAGGCUUGACUCUUCUCAGAGUUUUAGACUCCUAGGAGAGGUCAGACCUAAAUUAAUCUCUCUGCUGGCAUAUUUAAUAAGCACAAAACAGAGUUUACUGUGCCCACAACAGAGCUCUUCAUCUUCCCCAAAUGCCAAGCCUGUUUCCCCAUUAUCCUUUCCAUCUCAGUAAAUGAAACACCCUCCAUUCAGUUGCUCAGACUAAAACCCUGGGGGUCAUCCUUGCUUUCUCUCUUUCCCCCAACCCAUUCCCACAGGCAAUACAUAAUCAAGGUCUGCCAGUCCUAUCUCCAAAAUACAUUUCUGAAUAUGCUCAUUUCUGUCUACCUUCCCCAGGCCAGGCCACCUUUAUCUCCUAGCUGGGGGUAACCCAACAGCCCUACCAACUGGUUUCCCUGACUCAAUUCUCCAAUCUCUUUUCCCAACAAUAGCCAGGAGGAGUUUUUAACGAUCCAAAUCAGAUGAAGUCAUUUCUAUCAGUGCUUCAACACUAGUGCAUUGGAAGGGUACAAUAAACAUCUGUUAACAGAAUGAACGGAUAGAUGAAUGACUGACAAGGCAACUUGCUCACGGUCCUGGAGGUAUAACCAAAACCAGAGUCUUAUUUCAUCACAAUGUAACACCUGCGCAUAGGACCAGGAAGAGUGCCGGCCCUUAUUCUCCAGUGCUCUUGCUGAGAGCAACCAAUCACGCUUUGCCAAAUUUCAAAACAGAUACUAUACAAUAGCUAUGUUUUAUGCACAGUAAUACUACAAUGAUUUCAGAAUUUUUUCAUUUCAUUUUGUAAUCUUGCUUACGCGCCCAACCAUAGUAAUCUUGCUUACGCGCCCAACCCGAGGGAAGGUCCCUAGCCGCUUCGCAACCCGGGCUCCAAGUUGCAUCAGCCAAAAGAAACUUCAUUUCCCAAGCUUCCCUGGGACGAAACUACCCACAACCCUAACCAUCACCGAGCAGAGAGCCUACCACCAGCCUGUAUGCAAAUAAGACUCAAAAUAGCAUAAAAGACCUGUGACCCCGUUUAUCGGGGCUCUCCCGCUUUCUAACACUGGGGAGCCCUGGUGCACCAGUAAAGACUCUCUGCCGACGUCGGAAGAGAGUCGUGAG